rnacentral:rRNA from 1 species
CCUACGGGAGGCAGCAGUGGGGAAUCUUAGACAAUGGGCGCAAGCCUGAUCUAGCCAUGCCGCGUGAGUGACGAAGGCCUUAGGGUCGUAAAGCUCUUUCGCCAGAGAUGAUAAUGACAGUAUCUG